AUAAGAUAGAUGCAACUAUCGCCACAAUCGUGGAGCAGAGUUUUUCCUCAGUUCUGAAUGAGUUGUUCGUGUAAACAGUUUCUUUGUUGAACGGAAUAAAUAAAAAUGUGUUGUGUUUGCUCAUUGAUAUGCAAGGUGAUAAGUGGGCUGUUUUCCCUACUUUUCCUCGUGGCCAUUGUAUUACUAAUAUUGUGGGCUGUUGGAGUUAUCUUCACUUAGCAUAGAACCGAAUCAAACAUGACACGAGACUGAGAAAAUGUUGAUUGUGAGAGUGUUAAAAAAUAUUAGGAACAUCAAAAUGAAUUCAAUUAAGUUUUCGAUUUAAUAAAUAUAAAAAAAGUAAUUUAACACCAUCAAUAAAAA